CCUACGUGGAGCAGCAGUGGGGAAUAUUGGACAAUGGGCGAAAGCCUGAUCCAGCCAUGCCGCGUGUGUGAAGAAGGCCUUCGGGUUGUAAAGCACUUUCAGUGGGGAAGAAAGCCUUGGGGCUAAUACCCUCGAGGAAGGACAUCACCCACAGAAGAAGCACCGGCUAACUCCGUGCCAGCAGCCGCGGUAAUACGGAGGGUGCGAGCGUUAAUCGGAAUUACUGGGCGUAAGCGCGCGUAGGCGGUCUGAUAAGCCGGUUGUGAAAGCCCCGGGCUCAACCUGGGAACGGCAUCCGGAACUGUCAGGCUAGAGUGCAGGAGAGGAAGGUAGAAUUCCCGGUGUAGCGGUGAAAUGCGUAGAGAUCGGGAGGAAUACCAGUGGCGAAGGCGGCCUUCUGGACUGACACUGACGCUGAGGUGCGAAAGCGUGGGUAGCAAACAGGAUUAGAUACCCGGGUAGUC
rnacentral:rRNA from 1 species